rnacentral:lncRNA from 1 species
GAACAAUAGUGUGGCUGGAGCAGCUGGGAGAGCUCUGUGAUCAGUUCAGGGGGAGACUGGACAAAUUUGUGGAAGAGAACUCUAUACUCUGUUUUUAAAUAUUAGCUAUCUGUUGCUCAGGAAGCACGUCUGAGCUGAGAGCCAUUGGAGACUGCAUUCAUGAUACAGGUUUUCAAUAUUGUUUAAGCAUAAGAUACAACAUAUUGCAGAAAUGGCAAUUCAUCC